AUGCUGCCGCUCCCGUGCUGCGGGCCUCAGUGUGGGGAGGGGAGUCAACUUAAAAGUGCCAGGAGUAUGACUCUAAGCAGAGAGGAGAGAAACUUUGGCUCCUGUGGACGGAUGUUUAUUAUGCACCUGAAGUAUGCUCCCUGGCAUCCUGAACCUCCCCACCAUCCCCAUCACCACACACAGCUGACGUCAGAGCCUGGAAAAUUCCAGCCUCACUGGUGCAGACCCCCUCCCUCCCCUGCUCCUGGCUGCAGUUUCCAUGGCAACAGCUGGAGCCUGCCUCCUUCUCCACCAGGUAAUUACUCCUCAAGGGCUGGGGCAGCGCGAGGAGGUGGGGGUGUGUGGGGAGAUGGGACAACCCAGCUCCCAGGCCUCCUGCGGCAGCCACUGUCCUGCCCCUUAAAACACACUCGAACAGGAGCUUGGCAGAAGGUCAUGAAUUUGUCUGCCUGGACUUACACGGAGUCACACGGGUCUUUUAAGCACCAGCGACACCUGCUAUGGUCUCUUCUUUGCUCACUUAUCUAUUCAUUUAUUCAGCAAAUAUGGAUCCACUGUUCCCGGAGCCGGUGGUACGAGAAAAAAACAAACACUGGAAAAGGCAUGCUCUUCUGUCCGAGAGCCGAGCUGUCGGUGACAUUUGUUCCUUCAAACAGGAAUGUUUUAGAUUCAUUUAGCAAAAGGUUAUGGAAGGACCACUGCGCACUGCAUGCCAAGGGUCACGCAAGGUGUAGAGAAUAUGUCGUAAAGAAUGAACGUCAGAUCCCUGCCCAGAAUGCCUGGCAGUACCUUCGAACAUUUUUAGAAAGAAUAAAUGGGCAAAGGAGUGGAGUCUGUUCGGCUCAAAAUUAGGAUUCUGUGCGUUUAUUCAUUUGACAUCACGGACUAGCAUGCACUCUGGGGCUCUCCCAACGGUUCAAGCGGUAAAGAAUCCACCUAUAAUGCAGGAGAUGUAAGAGACAAGGGUUCGAUCCCUGGGUUGGGAAGACCCCCUGGAGAAGGGCAUGGCAGCCCACUCCAGUGUUCUUGCCUGGUGGGGUGCGGUCCACAGGGUGUCAGGCACGACUGAGCACACAGGGACGCAUGCAGAAAGCACGGUGUUUAUUGUCUUGAAUGGACAGGCAGUUAGUGGGAUGUUGAACACCCUGGAAUUUGCCUGAGAUCCAGACGUAGAGAACAAACGUAUGGCCACCGAGAGGGGAAGAGGAGGUGGGAUGAACUGGGAGAUUGAGAUUGACACAUACACCGUAUCGAUGUGCGUAUGAAACAGGUAACUAAUGGAGCCUCCUGUGCAGCUCGGGGAACUCUGCUCUGUGAAGACCCACCUGAGACAGGAACCCAGAAAAGAGGGUGUAUGUGUGCGCACGUAGCUGGUGCACUUGCUGCACAGCAAAAACAACAGCCUGGUAACACAGCUCUGCUCCAGUGGGAGAAAAACGCAUUUGUUUUUAACAUUGAGUGCUCUCAUCAAACAAAAUAAAUUAAAAAGCAUCUGAGUAGGAGGAGAGAGG
ensembl:lncRNA